AGAAUUCACAAUCUCAUGGUUUCUAGCCUGAUACCUUAACCCAGGGGUAGGUCUCUUUUAAUCAUAACAGAACAAUGUCUCUCAUCCUGAUCUCUGUUCAACACAUACAAGUAGCUGCACAAUAGAUUGCUUGGAACAUUCCAGGGCAAAGGUGGUUUUUUUUAACAAACCCUAAGUCUAAUCUAUUUCCAGGAGGAUUUUAAAUCUCAAUUACAUUAAGGGUCAGAUAGUCAAGUGAUGCAGAUGGGAUAUUUCCAGGUGGCUGCUAUCUCAAAUGAUGUGUUUAAAACUAGAACAAGGAGUAUUCUACCACAACAGUUUAUGCAACUGCUACCAUUCCACUCUUUCAAAUAUUCACCAUGAAGGGAGAGUCAAUAACCAUAUGGAAUAUACAAAGAUGCGCCAACUGAAUAUUUGAUCUGCAUAACAGUAUCCCUACAAUAAAUGCUAAUUUCAAAGUAUAUUUAAAAUGCAAUGUGAAGGCACACACUAUAACUGUUCUUUUUUAACCGUUCGGUGGCACAAACACACAAAACUGAAAUAAUUGAUUUGUGUGUUUCAAGUGACCUUGGUAAUAACAUCAGUUCAAUAUCUGGAAAGAUGGCCAUUUAAAUAAGUGUUUCAAAUCAUAGAGAAAGCAAGAAAUGUUCGCCAUUUUGUUUAAUUAAUGUGACAGAUGUU